UACGUAGGGGGCGAGCGUUGUCCGGAUUUAUUGGGCGUAAAGAGCUCGUAGGCGGCUGUUCGAGUCGGGUGUGAAAUCCUGAGGCUUAACCUUGGGUCUGCAUUCGAUACUGGGCGGCUUGAGUCUGGUAGGGGGAUCUGGAAUUCCUGGUGUAGCGGUGGAAUGCGCAGAUAUCAGGAGGAACACCAGUGGCGAAGGCGGCUCACUGGCCCGGUACUGACGCUGAGGUGCGAAAGCGUGGGGAGCAAACAGG
rnacentral:rRNA from 1 species